UUAGUGGUACAAUACCUCAGUCUUUUCGGAUGUUCUAUAAAUUCACCUGGAAAUACUGAGGUUGCGUUUCACUGAAC
rnacentral:pre_miRNA from 1 species